UACGAAGGGGGCUAGCGUUGCUCGGAAUCACUGGGCGUAAAGGGUGCGUAGGCGGGUCUUUAAGUCAGGGGUGAAAUCCUGGAGCUCAACUCCAGAACUGCCUUUGAUACUGAAGAUCUUUGAGUCCGGGAGAGGUGAGUGGAAUUGCGAGUGUAGAGGUGAAAUUCGUAGAUAUUCGCAAGAACACCAGUGGCGAAGGCGGACUCACUGGCCCGGAACUGACGCUGAGACGC
rnacentral:rRNA from 1 species